UACGUAGGGUGCAAGCGCUAAUCGGAAUUACUGGGCGUAAAGCGUGCGCAGGCGGUUAUGUAAGACAGGUGUGAAAUCCCAGGGCUUAACCUUGGAACUGCAUUUGUGACUGCAUAGCUAGAGUACGGUAGAGGGGGAUGGAAUUCCGCGUGUAGCAGUGAAAUGCGUAGAUAUGCGGAGGAACACCGAUGGCGAAGGCAAUCCCCUGGACCUGUACUGACGCUCAUGCACGAAAGCGUGGGGAGCAAACAGG
rnacentral:rRNA from 1 species